AUGGCGGCGGCCCUGGUGCGAGCCCUACGCGGACGGCGCGGGCCGGCGGCGGCGGCCAUGGCGCUCGGCCGCCGCGGCGGGCUGGGCGGUGCCGACGCUUCCCCUUCACCUCUGCUGCCGAUGAGGCGUUCCCUCGCCAGCGGCAACGGCGCCGGGGGGACGGGUGCUGGCGGCCACGGCGCGGGCACGGGGGCGGUCUCCUCGGGGUGCACCGGCAUGGGUGCCGAAGCACAAUGGCAUUGCAAGGGGGCGGGCGGAGGCGUCGUGGCCAACUCCGGCGGGGACGCAGGGGAAGAAUUACUAACCUCUCCUUCCACUUCCUCUUCUCCAGGCACUUUGCCCUCCCGCUCCGGCAAAGCAUUGGCCUUUUUUGUUUUUCUCGCGCCUUGCCGCUGGAUUGACCUUCUUUGUCGCAGGGCGACGGAGAUCCACCGUCUACGCAAGGACCUGUUUGAAGAAACCAGGCGUCUCUGGGACGGCUACCACAAGCAUUGUGAUGCAGAUAGAAAACUUUUCGAAGAGCUCGCCCAUUUAGAGAUGGAGAAUGCGAUGAACAUGGUUAACGCCAAGGAGAAUCUGGUGUCUACAACCUACAAGGUGCUGGGCUGCGCGGCGCUGUUCAUCAUCGGCGUCGCAACAUUGAUGGGGCCCUACAUCCACAGUUCUAUGGUGCACGACACCGUCAUUGAAGUUGAGCAGAGGCUCAAAGGUAAAAAGGUUGCUGACAAGACCUAG
rnacentral:rRNA from 1 species